CCCUUAGAUGUUCUGGGCUGCACGCGCGCUACACUGAUGCAUUCAACGAGUUUCUUCCUGGUCCGAGAGGAAUGGGUAACCUUUUGAAAGUGCAUCGUGAUAGGGAUAGACUAUUGCAAUUAUUGGUCUUCAACGAGGAAUUCCUAGUAGACGUAGUUCAUCAGACUGCAUCGAUUACGUCCCUGCCCUUUGUACACACCGCCCGUCGCUCCUACCGAUUGAAUGCUCAGGUGAGCCAUUCGGACUUUCAUCAUGCUGGUUUCCAGUUUUGAUGAAGGAAAGUCUUGCGAACCUUAUCAUUUAGAGGAAGGAGAAGUCGUAACA
rnacentral:rRNA from 1 species